UCAUGUAGUCUCUGGGUUUUGCUGCAUGUCCCGUUUUAUCGAUAGCUCCUCUUUCCAUAUUAAUAAAACCAUUUCUGCCACCGCGCUGCUUUGGGCAUCUGCAUCCCAUUUAAAAGAAAGAAUACCCAGCUCAGGUUCGGUCUGAUCACCCACGUGUGGUUGGGAGCUGUUGGCAACCUCUGGAAGUGCUGCAAAGUGAUGCACCCACUGCAGGUUUUUCAUCUUCUUCCAAACGCCGAGCGCUGUCUCUGGCUGCACUGCUUACACAGGCACUCUUUCUUUUCCUAGAAUGGCCUUCCUCUUUCACUGAGGGUAUUUUCCAGUUUCUCUCAUGCGUGUGGCAGCACGUGCUGCUCAGUAACCUCACGGAGCUGAGGCAGCUGGCAGACUCUGCUCCCUUCAGCAUUAGCUAUCAUUAGCUCUUUAGCACUGUGUAACAGGACGCUCUGCUCAGCACAGCAGCGUGCACUCAGUAGUUCAGCGAGAGCCUCCAGAACACUGUUCUUGCUGAGGAAUGCCCAAUCCAGAGUCACUUCUUGUUACUAUUCCCAGGAUUCCUUCCCCCAUGCAGUAAUGCCAUGUUUGCACCCCCCUGCCAGAGGGUGCUGGAGCGCAGCUUUCGAUUUAUUGGUGAGCAGGGAGGGCUUUUUGCCAGGAUUUGUCCCAGAAAGUGCUGUGCUUCCUCAGGCCACAUUCCUAAAAGCUGAUGAGAAGCACACUGCAGGGACCAGAGCGAGAUGGGCAGCUUUCAUUUGAACAAGAAAACAUUGCCUGGUGACAGUGGGGAACAGCAGUGGGAAGCCCCCAGUAACGUCGUGUGUGAUUUGGGAUUUUAAAAGGCUUAAUGUUAGAAACACAAGGAUGCUGAACAGGCCCUGCACCUCUGCGCUCUGACAAACAGAGCCAACACUGCCAUGAGAGGGAGAGGCUCAAUGGGGCGGAUGGCACUGCACAGUCCUCAGAGAGAAAAAUCACACCGUCAGCGAGAUGCCAACACGAGAUCCACUUUUCUGCCCACCCUCCGGAAUUGCAAUGAAAUUGUGAAGAAGUCGGUCUUCAAUGAUAUUUGAUUGAUGGCCUUUGAAGGUGGGAUAAAAAAGUCAAUAAAGUCUCAUUUCUU
ensembl:lncRNA